rnacentral:rRNA from 1 species
GAUGAACGCUAGCGGCAGGCCUAACACAUGCAAGUCGAGGGGUAGAGGAAGCUUGCUUCCUUGAGACCGGCGCACGGGUGCGUAACGCGUAUGCAAUCUACCUUUUACAGAGGGAUAGCCCAGAGAAAUUUGGAUUAAUACCUCAUAGUAUAUAUCAUUCGCCUGUUUGAUAUAUUAAAGUUCCAACGGUAUAAGAUGAGCAUGCGUCCCAUUAGUUAGUUGGUAAGGUAACGGCUUACCAAGACGAUGAUGGGUAGGGGUCCUGAGAGGGAGAUCCCCCACACUGGUACUGAGACACGGACCAGACUCCUACGGGAGGCAGCAGUGAGGAAUAUUGGUCAAUGGACGCAAGUCUGAACCAGCCAUGCCGCGUGCAGGAAGACGGUCCUAUGGAUUGUGAACUGCUUUUGUACGGGAAGAAACACUCUUACGUGUAGGAGCCUGACGGUACCGUAAGAAUAAGGAUCGGCUAACUCCGUGCCAGCCGCCGCAGUAA